rnacentral:lncRNA from 1 species
CUUUUAUUUCCGCAUCCGUUUUAGUCCCCGCCUCCCGCUAGUCCCGCUCUACGCGACGCCGCGGCAGCCAUUGCUCAUAUUCUCAUAUCAAAUAUCGAUUGUCGAUUUGAUUUUUCGCUUGCGAAUUUCCAAAUUAUUUGAGUUGUAUUAGCAAUAUUAUGUGUGUUAAGUGAUCACUAAUAUCCUAUAUAUUGCGCGAAUUACCCAGAGGUAUCUAUUAACCACAAUAAUUAGUGAAUUUCAACGCAAUUAGUUAAUUUUUAUUUGAAGACCAACAUGGGAACAAGGCCUAUAUUUCGCUCAAGAAAAAUGUUGUAUUGAUAGAUCUAUGGAGGAAAUAACAAAGAUGAGUCCAGAAUUUAGCCAAAAUGCAUAAUUUUCCAAAAAUACUGAAAAACCAAAAAUAUGACAAGAAUCUUUGAAAAUAUAACACAAUGCCUUUUGUAAUUAUGUUGUUUUGUGAUGAUAGUAAAAUUUGGUUGAUAUAAAACUGAAACAUAACUAUUCCUGCUCUAUGAAUGACUCUGUGAUAACGUUACCCAGGAUUUAACUAAUUCAGAGAAAAAAUACAGUAUUUUAUUUUCUAAUGGGACUAAUAACAAAAUUGAACAUUGCAGCAUAAUCAGGUUUCGCUAGACAAGAGAAAUAUAUGACCAUGAAAGUGUAUAGAAGAUAGGCCUGAAAAUAAUAAUAUUCACUGUUAAAAUAAAAUAAAAGUGAUUCAAGUUAUAAAAGAACUAACCAGUGUAGAAAAUUCACUUUCAAAAAGAAAACAUAAAAAUGGUUGUACAGUUAAAGUGGAAUGAACUGAUAUUUUUAUAGAAACAGAACAAAACUACUAAAGGGAAACGAGGUGAAGAGCUGUAUGACAGAUGAAUCCGUCACUUGUCUUGUGGAAAACAUGCUUUUCUUAUGGUUAAGAAGUGGUAUAUCAUCUUCAUGUUCUUUCAUAAUUGAAGCACCAUCAUUGUGUAUCAUGUAGAAAAACUGCCGACAUUCAUAGGAAAUGUCAGUCACAAAAUCUGAAAUAUAGGGUAAAGGAGCCUCACUGCAACUUCUGAUAAGACUAUCAGAGAGGAUAAUAUACAAUCAGAGAGGGUAAAACAUAAAGAACGGACUAUCUGUGAUUUCAAGAUAGUGAAAAUUCACACAAGAAUAUCUAUAUACUUAUUUACCUUAUGAGUCUAUACCCAACAGAAAAAUAAAAGUGCUAGUAGAUAGUGGGAUAAAUUUAAAGGAUAAUAUAAUAUUAACUCAAAAAUUAGGUGAACUAUGUUCUAAAACAAAUUGCAGCACCAUCAGGGUUAACAUAAACAUAUGUCAUCAAACAAAUAUACACUCUUCAGUUUUUAGAGCAACAUGACCAAGAAGCAAUUGUAGGAUAGUAUUGAAAAGGAAUAUGCACUCCUAAGGAAAAUGACAUGGGGAUGGACACAGGA